rnacentral:rRNA from 1 species
CAGCAUCGCUUGAUCACAUGAACUUCUGACCUAUCAGCUGGGACUGUGGUGUAGUGGACCACAGUGGCCUCGACGGGUGACGGAGAAUAAGGGUUCGAUUCCGGAGAGGGAGCCUGAGAGACGGCUACCACUGCCAAGGCGGGCAGCAGGCGCGCAAAUUGCCCAAUGCAAAAACAUCUGCGAGGCAGCGACGAACCGCAGCAAUCCCGCUGGUGCUCUGCGCUGGCGGGACUUGGAAUGGAUGCAAUCCAAACACAGUGAUGAGAAUCAACUGGAGGGCAAGUCUGGUGCCAGCAGCUGCGGUAAUUCCAGCUCCAAGGGCGUAUACUAACAUUGCUGCUGUUAAAACACCUGUAGUCUGCCACAGGGUCGUGGGUCUGCUGAGUGGCCUGGGGCCAGGAUCCCUUGGUGUCGGAACCCCUCCGGGGGGACCACGCCGGGGUCCCCUGGACCCGGGGUAAAACCCUCGGUGGUAUGCUCCCACGCCCAAUCCAAGCAACGGUGCGAGUGCCCCUGCCCAGAGGCCCCUUCACUGGGGUCCGAGGUGGCCACGCUGCCCACGCCAGUGCGGACGAUCCACGUGGUCGGAGCCCUCGUGCUCCGGAGCGACCACGCGUCCACCACCGGGGCCCACCGCUGUCGACACCGUGGAAAACUCAAUGUGCUCAAGGCGACCUGUGCGAAAACAAAGUCCCGCUGGCAACAGUGGGGACGAAUGGCUGAAUGUCUCUCCAUGGAAUGGCGACCUAUCGACCUAGCGAAGGCUACUGUGAUGUUGUGCUGGCCUUGGAGUCC